ACGUUGCAUGCAGGCGUCUUCUGCUUCUAUCCUUGUCUAAUCAGGCGUAUAGAUCGGUGUUACACUCGUGUAUUUAUCGUAGGAUCGUACACGCGUUGUUAGACAAGGACCAAAGAGGUCUCUACGCGUCGCUCGCUUUCUAUCCCGAUAUCGCUUUCUCAACUCGCUCGCGCGCUCUGUCUUCGUGUUUCUAUGCUCGAUAGCUGCACACCUCUCCUCGUCGUCCCUAUCACGUUCUUAGCACGCGAGUGCUUUAUCGACGUUUACUGACUUUUGUCGCCCGACUACGUGCAUUGUACACCGCGGAGAAUCAGUUUACUUUCAAUGAUAUCGCAAAAGGAAAACACCGAUACGGUGAAAGUGAUCGAAGCUUAACUCGUGGUCUACGCUUGUACAAAAAUAGCUUUUCUAAUUGCGUUUGUCCAUAUCGUUCAGCGUGUACAAGACCGACAAAAAACUUUUUUCGAUAGAAUGGCACGAAGAUGGACGAGUUGCAACGAGCUAAUCACACAGUCGUUCCGAUUCGAAGGAAACGUCAAUUUCAAUUUUCAGGCCGUAAAACAGCUUUAGAACGAUCGGAUGCUCGAAUUAUCGAAUCUAUCGACAAAUUUACAACGAAGGCCAGACCGAAUAAGACUAGAGAGAUAAGGAUUCGCGGAAGAUUUGAGGAGAAUGAGGAUGUAGAAGGCGAUGGAACACCUGGCUGAGGGCUGCAGACGCGGGAGUGCGAGGAUGAGCAUGGAGGUCUUUCUGAACGACGCAGGUACGGGCCUAGAGGAAAUGAAAAGAAUUUCGAGGGACGAGGAGGAAAGAGGGGUAGGCGCAGAGACGAAGGUGAUAACAGCAGGAUAAAGUUGGGUUAGCUGUAAUUAGAAAGAAAAACAGCUACCACAAUCUUACCUGGAAUAAACAAAAAUUAUGUACGAAAUAUCGAUCUAACGCAUAUUCGUUAUAAAAGUAUCGUUCUUUUUGUUUUACGUUACCAUGCGUUUAUUCGAGCAACGCAACAACAUUCGCAUCUUCUUCCGUAAAAUAAAAAUACAAUUGAUUUAGAAAAUAAAA